rnacentral:rRNA from 1 species
CCUACGGGAGGCAGCAGUUGGGCGGAAGCCUGAUCCAGCCAUGCCGCGUGCGUGAAGAAGGCCUUAUGGUUGUAAAGCACUUUAAGCGAGGAGGAGGCUACUUUAGUUAAUACCUAGAGAUAGUGGACGUUACUCGCAGAAUAAGCACCGGCUAACUCCGUGCCAGCAGCCGCGGUAAUA